UACGAAGGGUGCAAGCGUUACUCGGAAUUACUGGGCGUAAAGCGUGCGUAGGCGGUUUGUUAAGUCCGUUGUGAAAGCCCUGGGCUCAACCUGGGAAUUGCAGUGGAUACUACCGUGCUCGAGAGCUGUAGAGGGAUCUGGAAUUCUCGGUGUAGCAGUGAAAUGCGCAGAUAUCAGGAAGAACACCAAUGGCGAAAGCAGCUCUCUGGGACGGUACUGACGCUGAGACGCGAAAGCGUGGGGAGCGAACAGG
rnacentral:rRNA from 1 species